AGCGAUCUGAUUGGUUUACCCUCUUGACAGGUUUUGAUAAAUAUCCCCCAUAGUAUGCGUUUGUAGUCUUCUUUACCGGCUCCAUGCCUUCAAUACUUUCAUACAUGAGCGAUGAACAAUUAGUUUCAGCCUACUCCAAGUCCUGUGGACCAAGACUUUUUAUGGACCCUAUCUAUUUAAUGUGCACCCACUGAAGAGAUGUAUCCAAUGGGACCGUACACCCCUAUCCUGGAUGCUCCAUUGGAUGGAGGUACUGCUGGAGAUAUGUACCCCAGCUCACAGAUGGGAAGUUCAGAAUCGGUCUGCUGAGCACAUAGAGGUAACAAGAGUAAGGAACCACAAUUAAAACCCUCUUAGGGUGAAUUCACAUCACAAUUUGGGGAUGCAGCAUCCAGAUGCGGCGGGAAAAUUUGAAAACCGUAUCCCCUCUGGACCCGUCCUGCUCCCCAUUGAAUUGAAUGAGCCGGAUGGAGUCAGCUAUGGACAAAAGAAGGAAGAAAAGGUGCACACCUCGUGCAGAUUACCCGGGCGAUAGAAAGAAAGAAACUGGGGCCAAUGAAUUGGUCCCUUACCUUGCAAAGUUAUGCAUA